rnacentral:tRNA from 1 species
GUGAGCGUAGCUCAGUCGGUUAGAGCACCGGUCUGUGGAACCGGGGGUCGUGGGUUCAAGUCCCAUCGCUCACCCCA